AGCUCCAGUAGCGUAUAUUAAAAUUGCUGCAGUUAAAAAGCUCGUAGUUGGAUUUCUGGUAAAGCAGAGCUAGCCUGGCUCCUAGAGUCUCGUGCUGGCUUUCUGUUUGCCAUCCUUCCAGAGAACGACCAUACCCUUCAUUGGGCCGUGGUUGCAAUCUGGGACUUUUACUUUGAAAAAAUUAGAGUGUUCAAAGCAGGCGUUUCCGCUGUGAAUACAUUAGCAUGGAAUAAUAAUUUAGGACUUUGGUUCUAUUUUGUUGGUUCUAGGACCGAAGUAAUGAUUGAUAGGGAUAGUUGGGGGUGCUAGUAUUCAGCGGCCAGAGGUGAAAUUCUUGGAUUCGCUGAAGACUAACUUAUGCGAAAGCAUUCACCAAGGAUGUCUUCUUUA
rnacentral:rRNA from 1 species